GCGAUAUAUAAAUAACUGGUAAUAAUAAUAAUAAUCAUCAUCAUCAUUUUCUGUCUGUUUCUGUGAAUAUACAGUGAGAAAGAAUAUAUACAGUCCCGGGGUACCAGUGGAAUGAAACAAGCUAACGGUUUUUAUAUAUAGUGAACUAUUUUUUUGUUUAUAAUGGCUCCGCCAAAAAGUAACCUUUGGAAGUAUUUUGAUAAACAUCCUGACAAAUCAGGUUGUGAUCUUGAUUUUUUGUUUUUUUUACUGCCAAAGUAGGCUAUUUUCUUUUCUACCCUAUUGAGAACCUAUUUUCUAAACUGGUUGCUUCUUUUGUGUUUUUUUCCUUUUGUACCAAAGUAGACUAUUUUCUUUACUACCCUAUUGAGGACCUAUUUUCUAAGCUGGUUACUUCUUUUGUGUUUUUUUCCUUUUGUGCCAAAGUAGACUAUUUUCUUUACUAUCCUAUUGAGGACCUAUUUUCUAAGCUAGUUACUUCUUUUGUGUUUUUUUCCUUUUGUGCCAAAGUAGACUAUUUUCUUUACUAUCCUAGUAAGGACCUAUUUUCUAAGCUAGUUGCUUUUUUUGUGUUUUUUCCUUUUGUGCCAAAGUAGACUAUUUUCUUUACUAUCCUAUUGAGGACCUAUUUUCUAAGCUAGUAGGUAGCCUGGCCAAUGCAGGCCU